AGGGUUCGAUUAUGGCUCAGGAUGAACGCUGGCGGCGUGCUUAACACAUGCAAGUCGAACGGACCUUCGGGUUAGUGGCGGACGGGUGAGUAACGCGUGAGAAUCUGCCCUCAGGAGGGGGAUAACGGUUGGAAACGACCGCUAAUACCCCAUAUGCCUACUGGUGAAAUGAAUUUCGCCUGAGGAUGAGCUCGCGUCUGAUUAGCUAGUUGGUGAGGUAAUGGCUCACCAAGGCUUCGAUCAGUAGCUGGUCUGAGAGGAUGAUCAGCCACACUGGGACUGAGACACGGCCCAGACUCCUACGGGAGGCAGCAGUGGGGAAUUUUCCGCAAUGGGCGAAAGCCUGACGGAGCAACGCCGCGUGAGGGACGAAGGCCUCUGGGCUGUAAACCUCUUUUCUCAAGGAAGAAGAUAUGACGGUACUUGAGGAAUAAGCCACGGCUAAUUCCGUGCCAGCCGCCGCGGUAAUAC
rnacentral:rRNA from 1 species